GCGGACGGGUGAGUAAUGCUUGGGGAUCUGGCUUAUGGAGGGGGAUAACGACGGGAAACUGUCGCUAAUACCGCGUAAUGUCUAAGGACUAGAGGGUGGGACUUUCGGGCCACCUGCCAUAAGAUGAGCCCAAGUGGGAUUAGGUAGUUGGUGGGGUAAAGGCCUACCAAGCCGACGAUCUCUAGCUGGUCUGAGAGGAUGACCAGCCACACUGGAACUGAGACACGGUCCAGACUCCUACGGGAGGCAGCAGUGGGGAAUAUUGCACAAUGGGGGGAACCCUGAUGCAGCCAUGCCGCGUGGAUGAAGAAGGCCUUCGGGUUGUAAAGUUCUUUCGGUGAUGAGGAAGGGUGAUGUUUUAAUAGAGCAUUACAUUGACGUUAGUCACAGAAGAAGCACCGGCUAACUCCGUGCCAGCAGCCGCGGUAAUACGGAGGGUGCGAGCGUUAAUCGGAAUGACUGGGCGUAAAGGGCACGCAGGCGGUGACUUAAGUGAGAUGUGAAAGCCCCGAGCUUAACUUGGGAAUUGCAUUUCAUACUGGGUGGCUAGAGUAUUUUAGGGAGGGGUAGAAUUCCACGUGUAGCGGUGAAAUGCGUANAGAUGUGGAGGAAUACCGAAGGCGAAGGCAGCCCCUUGGGAAAAUACUGACGCUCAUGUGCGAAAGC
rnacentral:rRNA from 1 species